GCCGGGCCCGCGCUCGCCGCCGUUCCGCCGCUCUCUCCGGCCUCCCCCCGUGUCGUCCGGCUUCGAGGAGGGCGGGGGUGGUGACGGAGCGCGAGAUGAACGGAGCAAUGAGGCAAAAUGUCUGAGAAAAUGUCCAGCUUUCUGUACAUCGGGGGACAUCGUGUCCCUCUACGCCGAGGGCUCCGUCAACGGCUUCAUCAGUACCCUGGGGUUAGUGGAUGACAGAUGUGUGGUUCAGCCGGAUGCAGGUGAACUUGACAAUCCUCCCAAGAAGUUCAGAGACUGCCUUUUUCAAGGUGGUGUCCUAUGAACCGGUAUUUCAGCCCAGGAGGCAGUUCUUGGGAUAGCCAAUCAACUUCCAAUCAAGGGAAAACCAUACAAGAAGCAGGU
rnacentral:misc_RNA from 1 species